GACGAACCGUGCGAGCGUUGUUCGGAAUCACUGGGCUUAAAGGGCGCGUAGGCGGGUUUUCAAGUCUGUGGUGAAAGCCUCCAGCUUAACUGGAGAAGUGCCGUGGAUACUGGAGACCUCGAGGAGGGUAGGGGCAUCUGGAACAGCCGGUGGAGCGGUGAAAUGCGUUGACAUCGGCUGGAACUCCGAUGGCGAAGGCAAGGUGCUGGACCCUCUCUGACGCUGAGGCGCGAAAGCCAGGGGAGCGAACGGG
rnacentral:rRNA from 1 species